rnacentral:rRNA from 1 species
GAUCAUGGCUCAGGAUGAACGCUGGCGGCGUGCUUAACACAUGCAAGUCGAACGAAGCACUUUACCUGAUUUCCUUCGGGGAUGAUUGUUCUGUGACUGAGUGGCGGACGGGUGAGUAACGCGUGGAUAACCUGCCUCACACAGGGGGAUAACAGUUGGAAACGACUGCUAAUACCGCAUAAGCGCACAGCACCGCAUGGUGCAGUGUGAAGAACUCCGGUGGUGUG